AGGCUCCAUGACCAUUCAAAAGGUGAAGGGAUUGCUGUCACGUCUUCUCAAAGUUCCUGUGUCAGACCUUCUGUUGUCCUAUGAAAGUCCCAAAAAGCCGGGCAGAGAAAUCGAGCUGGAAAAUGACCUAAAGUCAUUACAGUUUUAUUCUGUGGAAAACGGAGAUUGUCUAUUAGUGCGAUGGUGACAACCAACUAAUAAAAUUUAGAGACUACACUGCUUAUCGUGUCUGGGGUUCACCGGAAAUAAAUGAUUCACUGGAACAAUUCUACUAUCAAAACAAAGGGGGUUUACAACUUGCCCUAAGUAUAACAAGGGAUGUAUUUUAACAACGAAUGUAUUUUUUGUUGGGAAGUAACCAUUUCUAGGCUUAUACAUAAUAGCAAUAAUAAAGGCUUUGAACCUACUAA